rnacentral:rRNA from 15 species
AGAAUUGCCGGACAAGGAACGUCUUUCGGGACUUUCCCUGUGCAGUGAACAACCAACUCAGAACUGGAGCGGACAAGGGGAAUCCGACUGUUUAAUUAAAACAAAGCAUUGUGAUGGCUUGAAAAGGUGUUGAUGCAAUGUGAUUUCCACCCAGAGCUCAGA